rnacentral:misc_RNA from 1 species
UCACAUGCUAUUAAGUCUAAUAAGACCUAUUAAGUAAUUAUAACAUGUUAUACAUGCCAUUGCGCUCUAAAUUAUAAGGCCCAUUAAAUGUCAAUUAAAAACUCACUCUAUUUAAAAUAUUAUUAUUUUUUAAAAUAUAAUUAAUAAACAAAUUUAAUAGUAUAUUAUAAAAAAAAUAGAUUUUUGAAAAUUUCUUUUACUAAUAUUAAUCUUG